GUCUAAACAGUGAUCUGCUGCUCAGAAGCCAUGAUUCCAUAUGGGGAUCACUACAGUGAUCCGUCCUCAUACUGUGAAGGAGAUCGCUGCAUGUAAAUGCGUGGUCUUCACUGAACGAGCAGCCGACUGUCAGGGAGGAACGCUCAUUUCCCGGCCGCUGCAUUGCCCUGUGUAAAGCCAGCUUGACAAAUAGGGUAUUUAAAUAUAAUCUUUUCUAGGUUUAGGGUUCAAUUAAACAAAAAAA